rnacentral:lncRNA from 13 species
AUGUUAUUUCAAUAUCCAAUAGCUGUAAUGCACAACCCUAACCCUAGCAUCAUGUCUACAUCCUGGUUCAACCCUAACCCUAGCAUCAUGUCUACAUCCUGGUUUAACCCUAACCCUAGCAUCAUGUCAACAUCCUGGUUUACCCCUAACCCUAGCAUCAUGUCUACAUCCUGGUUUAACCCUAACCCUAGCAUCAUGUCAACAUCCUGGUUUACCCCUAACCCUAGCAUCAUGUCUACAUCCUGGUUCAACCCUAACCCUAGCAUCAUGUCUACAUCCUGGUUUAACCCUAACCCUAGCAUCAUGUCAACAUCCUGGUUUACCCCUAACCCUAGCAUCAUGUCUACAUCCUGGUUUAACCCUAACCCUAGCAUCAUGUCAACAUCCUGGUUUACCCCUAACCCUAGCAUCAUGUCUACAUCCUGGUUUAACCCUAACCCUAACAACAACCCUAUACCUANNNNNNNNNNGGGGGGGCUUGGGCCAGUCGGGAGGUGCAGAGCUGUUGGCCAGGGUUGGGGUAGCCAGGUGGAAAGCAUGGCCAGCCGUAGAGGAAUGCCUAUUGAAAUUCUCGAUUAUUGUGGAUUUUUCGGUGGUGACAGUGUUUCCCAGCCUCAGUGCAGUGGGCAGCUGGGAGGAGGUGUUCUUAUUCUCCGUAGACUUUACAGUGUCCAAAACCUUUUGGGAAUUCGUGCUGCAGGAUGCACAUUUCUGUUUGAAAAAGCUAGCCUUUGCUUUCCUAACUGACUGUGUAUAUUGGUUCCUGACUUCCUGAAGAGUUGCAUAUCGCGGGGACUAUUCAAAGCUAGUGCAGUACGCCAGAGGAUGUUUUUGUGCUGGUCAAGAUCAGUCAAGUCUGGGGUGAGCCAAGGGCUAUAUCUGGUCUUAGUUCUACAUUUUUUGAACGGGGCAUGCUUAUUUAAGAUGGUGAGGAAAGCACUUUUAAAAAACAACCAGGCAUCCUUUACUUACGGGAUGAGGUAAAUAUCCUUCCAGGAUACCCGGGCCAAGUUGAUUAGAAAGGCCUACUCGCAGAAGUGUUUUAGGGAGUGUUUGACAGUGAUGAGGGGUGGACCCAUAACGGACGCAGGCAAUGAGGCAGUGAUUGCUGAGAUCCUGGUUGAAAACAGCAGAGGUGUAUUUAGAGGGCUAGUUGGUCAGGAUGAUAUCUAUGAGGGUGCCCAUGUGUACGGAUUUGGGGUUGUACCUGGUAGGUUCCUUGAUAAUUUGUGUGAGAUUGAGGGCAUCUAGCUUAGAUUGUAGGACGGCCGGGGUGUUAAGCAUAUCCCAGUUUAGGUCACCUAACAGUAUGAACUCUGACGAUAGAUGGGGGGCAAUCACUUCACAUACAGUGUCCAGGGUACAGCUGGGAGCUGAGGGGGGUCUAUAACAAGCGGCAACAGUGAGGUACUUAUUUCUGGAGAGAUUCAUUUUUGAAAGUAGAAGCUUGAAUUGUUUGGGCAUAGACCUGGAUAGUAUGACAGAACUCUGCAGGCUAUCUCUACAGUAGAUUGCAACUCCGCCCCCUUUAGCAGUUCUAUCUUGACGGAAAAUGUUGUAAUUGGGGAUGGAAAAUUCAGAAUUUUUGGUGGCCGUCCUAAGCCAGGAUUCAGACAUGGCUAGGACAUCAGGGUUGGCGGAGUGUGCUAAAGCAGUGAAUAAAGCAAACUUAGGGAGAAGGCUUCUGAUGUUAACAUGCAUGAACCCAAGGCUUUUACAGUUACAGAAGUCAACAAAUGAGAGCGCCUGGGGACACACAGGGCCUGGGUUAACCUCUACAUCCCAGAGGAACAGAGGAGGAGUAGGAUGAGGGUACAGCUAAAGGCUAUAAGAACUGGUCGUCUAGUGCAUUUGGAACAGAGAACAAAAGGAGCAGAUUUCUGGGCGUGGUAGGAUAGAUUCAGGGUAUAAUGUGAAGACACGGGUAUGGUAGGGUGCGAGUACAGUGGAGGUAAACCUAGGCAUUGAGUGAUGAUGAGAGAGGUUGCAUCUCUGGAGGCGCCAGUUAAGCUAGGUGCGGUCUCCGCAUGUGCGGGGAGUGCGGCAAAAGAGCUAUCUGAGGAAUGUUGAGCAGGACUAGGGACUCCGCAGUAAAAUAAAACAAUGAGAGCUACCCUAAACAACAGUAUACAAGGCAUAUUGACAUUAGAGAGAGGCAUAAAGCAACCACAGGUGCUGAUUGGGAGAGCUAAGACAACAACAGGUAAACAGCUAAGACAACAACAACGGGUAAAUGGCAAUGAAUGGUCAGAGGGUCAGUUAGCUACACACAGGACCUGAGUUCGAGGCUGGGGCUAACAGAUAAACAAAAUGGGUAAUUACGGGUAAUGGAGUCGCCAAUGGCUAGGGUGUUCAAUUUGUCAGAGCUAAUGGUGGGAGGCUUCGGUGUCUCAGACCCCGUAACAGGUGAAGGAGAGACCAGAGAAGACUUGGCCUCUGGCCUCUGUCGGCUGAAUGAGCAACACCGGUUGAGCAUUCCUACAGCAUUUCCUUCCAGAAGCCAUGAGAAAAUUGUCCAGCUGCGUAGACUGUGCAAGGGGAUUUAUACUACUAUCUGUACUAUUGGUGGCACAGACGCUGUUUCAUCCUUUCCUACACAUAAAUUACCCUUGCCUAACGAUUGUAUCUGAAGCUGGGCUUGCGGCACGAUUAUCUUCACGGUUAUCCUGUAUAUUAUGAGUACAGCGACUGCAAUUAAAAGGCAUAAUAUUAAUGUUGCUACUUAGCUUCGGCUGGUGGAGGUCGUGUAGAACCAGUGCAGAUAAAGCAUCCAGGGUGAAAAAGUUUAAUGAAAAAAGUUGAGCAAGGGAAAAAUGUAAAUAUAGAACAGUAAUUAAAAAGUAAAUACCAUAAAGUUGGCAGGUAGAAAAGACACGUUAGUAACAAACCACACAGCAGCUACUACAUGAUACUAAAAUGUUCCCUAUAACCAACAUGAGGUUGCUACAACCUAGCCUACAAAUUAAAAUGUAUAACAGUCGAGGGACACAGGUCGAGAGACAAAUUGGAGUAGUGACAAACAGUGACACAUUCAAUACUGCCUUGCACACUCUUGCCUGAAUCUAGCAGAUCUAGGGCAGGGUUUCCCUUCAUUGCAAAACAGUGUUUUAAUCAGUUAUUUGGUGAAAUUAAUAUAUUUUGUAUAGUUUUAUCCCAAAACUAUGACAACUUUUUUAAUGUUUCCCUAUUUACAUUUUUUUAUGAAUUUCACUGAGUACAAUGGUCCUCCCCUUCCUCCCCUGAGGAUCCUCCACUGAUCCCUACAGCUGUAAUGCCAACCGCAACCCUAACUCUAACCCUAGGUUCAUGUCCACACCCCGGCUCAACCCUAACAUGCCACACCACUCGUGUCAUGUGCGCGAUUGUUGCAAAAUAAAUGUACACAUACAUGUUAUUCAAUCAUUGCACCCACACUGCUCGCGCACAUCCAUGUAGCCAGGCGCUAAAAUAGAACUUGGUUCUAUUUCUGAUGCUUGACGUGCUGCAAGUCCCGCCUCUCCCGUCUCCUCAUUGGUUUAGGAACAUAGACCCACGUGGGUGAUUGAAAGAUGAACUGAGGUCCACACUCCAGUCCAGCUGGUAGUGGUAAUGUACCUUAAAGUUGGUUGCCAACCUCCAUAUAAAGUCCAAAGAAGAAGAAGAUGAAGGAGGAGAAAUGAUUAGAAAAAGGUUUACCCUUUUAUCUGUGGAUUAAUUGUCGGUGUAGAGGGCCGUGUCCAUUUCAGGUAAAAUAACAACCCAAUGUUUAUAUCCCAAUACAAAUUAGCUGGCAACAGCAAGCUAGCCAAAUUGCCAUAAAUGUUCAAUGCUUUUCAACCUGUCCCCAAAUUAACAUAGUUGGUUCAGAAUUUGUUUUGAUAUUUCAACCUGCAUGUGCUGAUCGCGUCUGGUGUGGGUGGACAAAAUCAACAUGUGCACGCUGACAUACUCAUGCGAGCAGUCUGGUCAGCAUAUAACCGUCACAGUUUUCCUUCAUCUGGUCUAGUACACAUCCACACUAUACAGCACCUCACCAUCAGCCAUAGAUGAACAGAAUAUUAUCAGUCAUCACAGAACCCUCCAGGACAUCACCAAGAUUCACAGCUGUGAAUUACAGAGCAGCAGCCAUUAAAGCUUGUGGAGCUGGCUAUUGUUUAAUGAUAUGUAAAAAUAGUAAAGCUUAAUUUAGGGUUCUACUAUUCAAUCUGUAGUGUUGAAGUUCAGCAUUACAGCAUGGUUGAAAUCUAAAGGCAAUGUUUCCACGUUGGCGGAAACUGCAUUCACGGUAAAUCCCGCCGAGCACAAUCAGAAAUUACCCUUACAUUUCUAUCGCACAAUCUGUAACGCUUCAUCGAUACAGAUGUAAUAUAGCUCUUAAUUACACUCCGUGCACACAGCGCUCACUCCGUUCCCUUCUCCCAUAAAAAAAAAUAAGCGCUGAAAUGGGCUGGGUGCCCUAACGCCUGUAGGGUUGUUUUUUGUGGAGGACGCGGGUUUUGCUGAGGUUGAUGAGCUUCAAUGACACAAAUAUUACAGCAAAUAUAGUCAUAUAGACAGUAACACAUGUGUCCCACUAUAUUCUCACAUGGGAAAUAGCAUUUACACCAGCAUAUAUUAUUACUUCUCCGCUAUUUGUCAAUGAUAGCGUCUUCCCGCCUUUAGAUCUCCUGGCGAUGUUCUUAUCAAGCGGUUGAAUAACUUCAUUCUAAUGAGUUGAGUUGUUUGGUUUCCAGAUGCUUUUUGAUAGCCUUUAUGUUAAACAUGUGGAAGCUGCUUUCGAUGUACAACACCAUGAAUCGGAAGCACAGAAAAAAAAUAUAAACAAAAAUGCUAUUGCUAUUAGGUUAUUGCUAUGUUAUUAAUUUUGCAUGCCUAUGUUCUAACAUAGUUUCUUUGUAUUCGUUACUGUAUAAUGGUCACUGGCAGGUUCCAUCUCCUCCAAAGCGAAAGUGUUUAUGAGUAUCUACCUCAUGCAGUGGACGCGCAGUCACAUGGUUCUGAAAGCAUGACUCCAUUCAUUACAUUCCGCAAAUAGUCUGUAAAUCAAUCGUUUUGUGAUAAGAAAAACUUUCCGUCCCUGGGUGGGCUCGAACCACCAACCUUUAGAUUAACAGUCUAACGCGCUAGCCGAUUGCGCCACAGAGACAACUAAGACAAGACGCGACGCGAUAGAAGAAAGUACUGUGCGUGGUGCUGAAAUCAUUCGCUGCUAGGUUCUCACUUUAUACAGAGCCUGAGCGCUGCAGCUUUUUUUAGUGGGUGAACACUCCUAGUCCUAGAACGCUAUUGUAUAUGUAUGCAGGCGUGUGUAGUGAAUGAAGUGUGUU